rnacentral:rRNA from 1 species
GAUGAACGCUAGCGGGAGGCUUAACACAUGCAAGUCGAGGGGCAUCACGGGGUAGCAAUACUCUGGUGGCGACCGGCGCACGGGUGAGUUACACGUAUGCAACCUGCCUCGUACAGGGGAUAACCCGGAGAAAUUCGGACUAAUAUCCCAUAAUGAUAUUGAAAGGCAUCUUUUGAUAUUUAAAGCUCAGGCGGUACGGGAUGGGCAUGCGGAACAUUAGCUAGUUGGCAGGGUAACGGCCUACCAAGGCUGCGAUGUUUAGGGGACCUGAGAGGGUUAUCCCCCACACUGGUACUGAGACACGGACCAGACUCCUACGGGAGGCAGCAGUGAGGAAUAUUGGUCAAUGGGCGCAAGCCUGAACCAGCCAUCCCGCGUGAAGGAAGAAGGCGCUAUGCGUUGUAAACUUCUUUUCCAGGGGGAGAAUUUUUCCGUCGUGACGGGAAUUGACGGUACUCUGGGAAUAAGCAUCGGCUAACUCCGUGCCAGCCGCCGCGGUAAGAC